rnacentral:tRNA from 3 species
GCGGGAAUAGCUCAGUUGGUAGAGCAUCUCCUUGCCAAGGAGAAGGUCGCGAGUUCGAGUCUCGUUUCCCGCUCCA